UCCACGCUGUAAACGAUGGGUGCUAGGUGUCGGUCCGGUAGAACGGAUCGGUGUCGAAGCUAACGCGUUAAGCACCCCACCUGGGGACUACGGUCGCAAGGCUGAAACUCAAAGGAAUUGACGGGGGCCCGCACAACCGGUGGAACAUGUGGUUUAAUUCGAUGAUACGCGAAGAACCUUACCUGGGCUUGACAUAUCGGUAUUAGGACCUCGAAAGAGGAACGAUCCGCCUU
rnacentral:rRNA from 1 species